UUUAAACCAAAUGUUUUUUUUUUGUUUUUUUUUGUUUUUAAUUUUUCAAAUGAUGAUGAUAAUUAUUGAGAGAGGGGAAAAGCUC
rnacentral:ribozyme from 14 species